CCUACGGGCGGCAGCAGUGGGGAAUAUUGCACAAUGGGGGAAACCCUGAUGCAGCGACGCCGCGUGAGGGAAGAAGGAAUUCGGUAUGUAAAGCCCUAUCAGCAGGGAAAAAAAUGACGGUACCGGAGUAAGAAGCCACGGCUAACAACGUGACAGAAGCCGUGGUAAUAUGCAGGGGGCAAGCGUUAGCCGGAUUUACUGGGUGUAAAGCGAGCGUAGACGGCAGUGUAAGUCCGGAGUGAAAGGCGGGGGCUCAACCCCCGGACUGCUCUGGAAACUGUACGGCUGGAGUGCAGGUGAGGUAAGUGGAAUUCCUAGUGUAGCGGUGAGAUGCGUAGAUAUUAGGAGGAACCCCAGUGGCGAAGGCGGCUUACUGGACUGUAACUGACGUUGAUGCUCGAAAGCGUGGGGAGCAAACAGGAUUAGAUACCCCAGUAGUC
rnacentral:rRNA from 1 species